rnacentral:rRNA from 1 species
GACGAACGCUGGCGGCGUGCUUAACACAUGCAAGUCGAGCGGAGCGGCGAACGGGUGAGUUACGCGUGAGUAACUGCCCCCCUCUCUGGGAUCACAGUUGGAGACGGCUGCUAAUACCGGAUAGUGGGGGAUGUGUCGCGUCCUGUCGGCUGGUGGGUGGGGUAGUGGCCUACCAGGGGGACGGGGGGUAGCCGGCCUGGGCGGGGAAACGGCCACAAUGGGCUAGGAGACGGCUCAAGAUCCUACGGGAGGCAGCGGUGGGGAAUAUUGCACAAUGGGGGAAACCCUGAUGAAGCAACACGGGUGCGGAAUGAUGGCCUGCGGGUUGUAAACCGCUUUCAGCCAUGACGCGGUAGUGGAAGAAGAAGCACCGGCUAACUACGUGCCAGCAGCCGCGGUAAUUC